rnacentral:other from 1 species
UACUCCCUGCCUUGUGCGGCAAAUAUAUGACGAAUAUUAACCCAACAAACACUUCAAGGGAGCCUUGCUCCGGCGGCGGAUUGCAGACCUCCCGGCUUUGCCGGAUGAAGGGAGCGCGAACCCGCGGGAAGGCACCCACCUGCUUAAUGCAGGUUAUUAUUCAGUCAUAUUCGGCUUGGCGGGGUUUAU